rnacentral:lncRNA from 1 species
UUUAUCGGAAGAUAUUUCCUUUUUCACCGUAGGCCUCAAAGCGCUCCAAAUGUCCACUUCCACAUACUACAAAAAGAGUGUUUCAAACCUGCUCUAUGAUAGGGAAUGUUGAAACCUAUGAGUUGAAUGCAAACAUUACAAAGAGGUUUCUGAGAAUGCUUCUGUCUAGAUUUUAUAUGUAGAUAUUCCCGUUUCCAACGAAAUCCUCAAAGCUAUCCAAAUAUCAACUUGCAGAUUCUACAAAAGGAAUGUUUCCAAAAUGCUGUAUCCAAACAAAGGUUCAACUCUGUGAAUUGAGGGCAUACAUCACAAAGAAGAUUCUGAGAAUGCUUCUGUCUAGAUUUUAUAUGAAAAUAUUCCCGUUUCCAACGAAAUCCUCAAAGCUAUCCAAAUAUCCACUUGCAAAUGCCACAAAAAGAGUGUUUCCAAACUGCUCUGUGAAAAGGAAGGUUCAACUCUGUUAGUUGAGUACACACAUCACAAAGAGGUUUCUGAGAAUGCUGCUGACUAGUUUUUAUUUGAAGAUAUUUCCCUUUUCACCUUAGGCCUAAGAGUGCUCGAAAUGUCCAUUUCCACAUACUACAAAAAGAGUGUUUCAAACCUGCUGUAUGAAAGGGAAUGUUCAACUCUAUGAGUUGAAUGCAAACAUUACAAAGAGGUUUCUGAGAAUGCUUCUGUCUAGAUUUUAUAUGAAGAUAUUCCCGUUUCCAACGAAAUCCUCAAAUCUAUCCAAAUAUCCACUUGCAAAUUCCACAAAAAGAGUGUUUCAAAACUGCUCUGUCAAAAGGAAGGUUCAACUCCGUUAGUUGAGUACACACAUCACAAAGAGGUUUCUGAGAAUGCUGCUGACUAGUUUUUAUUUGAAGAUAUUUCCCUUUUCACCUUAGGCCUAAGAGC